rnacentral:rRNA from 1 species
AUGAACGCGAGCGGCAGGCUUAAUACAUGCAAGUCGAGGGGGCAGCAUGGUGUAGCAAUACACUGAUGGCGACCGGCAAACGGGUGCGGAACACGUACGCAUACUUACCCAAAACUGGGGAAUAGCCCGGGGAAACCCGGAUUAAUACCUCGUAACAUAAUGAAGUGGCAUCACUUUAUUAUUAUAGCUCCGGCGGUUUUGGAUGGGUGCGCUGAUAGGGUCGUUGGCGGCUGAUUAGGUAGUUGUUGCGAGGGGUAACGGCCCACCAAGCCUACGAUCAGUAACUGGUGUGAGAGCACGACCGGUCACACGGGCACUGAGACACGGGCCCGACUCCUACGGGGAGGCAGCAGUAAGGAAUAUUGGUCAAUGGACGCAAGUCUGAACCAGCCAUGCCGCGUGAAAGGAUGAAGGUCCUCUGGAUUGUAAACUUCUUUUAUAUGGGAAGAAUAAUCCAUCUUUUCUUGGGUGGGUUGACGGUACCAUAGGAAUAAGCACCGGCUAACUCCGUGCCAGCAGCCGCGGUAAUACGGAGGGUGCAAGCGUUAUCCGGAUUCACUGGGUUUAAAGGGUGCGCAGGAGGGCAGGUAAGUCAGUGGUGAAAUCUCCAAGCUUAACUUGGAAACUGCCGUUGAUACUAUCUGUCUUGAAAUACCGUGGAGGUGAGCGGAAUAUGUCAUGUAAGCGGUGAAAAUGCUUAGAUAUGACAUUAGAACACCAAUUGCGAAGGCAGCUCGCUACACGAAUAUUGACUCUGAGGCACGAAAGCGUGGGGAUCAAACAGGAUUAGAUACCCUGGUAGUCCACGCCCUAAACGAUGGAUACUCGACAUACGCGAUACACAGUGUGUGUCUGAGCGAAAGCAUUAAGUAUCCCACCUGGGAAGUACGACCGCAAGGUUGAAACUCAAAGGAAUUGGCGGGGGGGUCCGCACAAGCGAUGGAGCAUGUGGUUUAAUUCGAUGAUAUACGCGAGGAACCUUACCUGGGCUAGAAUGCUGGUUGACCGAGGGUGAAAGCUCUCUUUGUAGCAAUACACAACCAGUAAGGGUGUCUGCAUUGGCUGUCGUCAGCUCGUGCCGUGAAGGGUGUUGGGUUAAGUCCCGCAACGAGCGCAACCCCCAUCACUAGUUGCCAUCAGGUGACGCUGGGAACUCUAGUGAAACUGCCGUCGUAAGACGUGAGGAAGGAGGGUGAUGAUGUUCAAGUUCAUCAUUGGCCUUUAUUCCAGGGCUACACACGUGCUACAAUGGGGGCGUACAAAGGGCUGCCACUUAGCGAUAAGGAGCCAAUCCCAAAAAACGCCUCUCAGUUCAGAUUGGAGUCUGCAACUCGACUCCAUGAAGCUGGAAUCGCUAGUAAUCGUAUAUCAGCAAUGAUACGGUGAAUACGUUCCCGGACCUUGCACACACCGCCCGUCAAGCCAUGGAAGCCGGGUGUACCUAAAGUCGGUAACCGUAAGGAGCCGCCUAGGGUAAAACUGGUAACUGGGAGCU